rnacentral:lncRNA from 1 species
AUAAUUAAAAAAAUUUAUGUGAAACAAAGAGGAAAAGAAUGUUUUGAUAAAGUAGGGCGUUUGUUGAAAGAUGAAGGUAUCUCACUAUUAUUAUUAAUGUAGUCUUAGAUAUUAUUACUCACUCAUCCCAGUAAUUUAUAAUAUAUCUCAUCUCCGUUGAAUCUCAAAGUUUACUCCACAUUACUUGUCCAAUCGUAUUCAGUAUGGGAUUCGUCGCUACUUUUUUUAUCAUUCUUCUUGUACUCCUUAUAGUGAUGGGAUUAUAUAUCUCUGUUCGUUUUGGGCUUAAUUAUAGCCGAGGAAUGAGAGGAUAUGAAGCUGUUCCUCAUAUAGAGUCCUUUAGAAAUAUAUUUAGUUCAUUUAGUCGCCGAGGAGCAUAUCAGGAGAUAUGAAGUCAUUUAUUUCUUCAUUUCACCAGUACUCUCAUGAAUGAUAUGUUUGUGUGCCUUUGAUAACAAUAGUAGAUUUUUAUAUUAUGAAUACAUACAUAGAUGUCAAAAUUUUAUCCCUAUAAUUCAAUAUCUUACGAGUUACGAACUCGUUUGAAUAUAAAUUUUUUUUAGAGCCAACAAAGUUAUUUUUUUAAGUCAAACGUUAAUUAAUUAAUUAUUCUUUACACAUAUAGAAAUGCCACUUAUUAUUAUAGAAAAUAAAUAAAAGACAUAUUUUUGAAGAAAAAAAA